AUCUAUGACCAUACCACCCUGAAUGUGCCUAUCUCAUCUGAUCUUGAAAGCUAAGCAGGGUCAGGCCUGAUGAGUACUUGGAUAGGAAGAAUGCCAAUUCUGAAGUAGGGUAAGGAAACAUGAGCA
rnacentral:rRNA from 1 species